ACUCAAAGGAAUUGACGGGUCCCCGCACAAGCGGCGGAGCAUGCGGCUUAAUUCGAUGCAACCCGAAGAACCUUACCUGGGUUUGACAUCAUGGGAAAAGCCGUAGAAAUACGGUGUCCGCAAGGGCCCAUGACAGGUGGUGCAUGGCUGUCGUCAGCUCGUGUCGUGAGGUGUUGGGUUAAGUCCCGCAACGAGCGCAACCCUCGUCCUAUGUUGCCAGCGGUUCGGCCGGGGACUCAUAGGAGACUGCCGGGGAUAACUCGGAGGAAGGUGGGGACGAAGUCAAGUCAUCAUGCCCCUUAUAUCCAGGGCUGCACGCAUGCUACAAUGGCCGGUACAACGGGCAGCGACCUCGCGAGAGUGAGCGAAUCCCUCAAAGUCGGCCUUAGUUCGGAUUGAAGUCUGCAACUCGACUUCAUGAAGCCGGAGUCGCUAGUAAUCGCGGAUCAGCAAAGCCGCGGUGAAUACGUUCUCGGGGAUUGUACACACCGCCCGU
rnacentral:rRNA from 1 species